GUGAGGAAUAUUGGUCAAUGGACGGAAGUCUGAACCAGCCAAGUAGCGUGCAGGAAGACGGCCCUAUGGGUUGUAAACUGCUUUUAUACGGGGGUAAAGUGUGCCACGUGUGGCAUAUUGCAAGUACCGUAAGAAAAAGGAUCGGCUAAUUCCGUGCCAGCAGCCGCGGUAAUACGGAAGAUCCGAGCGUUAUCCGGAUUUAUUGGGUUUAAAGGGAGCGUAGGCGGAAGUUCAAGUCAGCUGUGAAAGUUUGUGGCUUAACCAUUGAAUUGCAGGUUAAAAUGAAUUUCUUGAGUGUACAUAAGGGUGGUGGAAUUUGGUGUGUAGCGGUGAAAUGCAUAGAUAUCACGAAGAACUCCGAUUGCGAAGGCAGCCAUCCGGGGUACAACUGACGCUGAGGCUCGAAAGUGCGGGAAUCAAACAGGAUUAGAAACCCGGGUAGUCC
rnacentral:rRNA from 1 species